UGUCAUGAGGUGGUGAUCGAUUGG
rnacentral:siRNA from 1 species